CCUACGGGAGGCAGCAGUGGGGAAUAUUGGGCAAUGGGCGAAAGCCUGACCCAGCAACGCCGCGUGAAGGAAGAAGGCUUUCGGGUUGUACACUUCUUUUGACAGGGAAGAGCAGAAGACGGUACCUGUCGAAUAAGCCACGGCUAACUACGUGCCAGCAGCCGCGGUAAUACGUAGGUGGCAAGCGUUGUCCGGAUUUACUGGGUGUAAAGGGCGUGUAGCCGGGCUGACAAGUCAGAUGUGAAAUACGGGGGCUCAACCCCCGAACUGCAUUUGAAACUGUUGGUCUUGAGUAUCGGAGAGGCAGGCGGAAUUCCUAGUGUAGCGGUGAAAUGCGUAGAUAUUAGGAGGAACACCAGUGGCGAAGGCGGCCUGCUGGACGACAACUGACGGUGAGGCGCGAAAGCGUGGGGAGCAAACAGGAUUAGAUACCCUAGUAGUC
rnacentral:rRNA from 1 species